GACGAACGCUGGCGGCGUGCUUAACACAUGCAAGUCGAACGGAAAGGCCCCCACCUUGGUGGGGGUGCUCGAGUGGCGAACGGGUGAGUAACACGUGGGUGAUCUGCCCUGUACUUCGGGAUAAGCUUGGGAAACUGGGUCUAAUACCGGAUAGGACCAUGGUUUAGUGUCUCAUGGUGGAAAAAUUAUUGUUUUGGUGCAGGAUGAGCUCGCGGCCUAUCAGCUUGUUGGUGGGGUAAUGGCCUACCAAGGCGUCGACGGGUAGCCGGCCUGAGAGGGUGGACGGCCACAUUGGGACUGAGAUACGGCCCAGACUCCUACGGGAGGCAGCGGUGGGGAAUAUUGCACAAUGGGCGCAAGCCUGAUGCAGCGACGCCGCGUGGUGGAUGACGGCCUUCGGGUUGUAAACUCCUUUCGUUAGGGACGAAGCCACACCUUUUUUGGGUGUGGUGACGGUACCUUUGUUAAGAAGCACCGGCUAACUACGUG
rnacentral:rRNA from 1 species